rnacentral:lncRNA from 1 species
CCUGCCACCAUUUCGUAGAUAUUGGCAGUAAAAAUGCUAUUCCUGGGUCAGAGACACAGGACAUUAUUACUCACAGCACAACAGGCCACAUGAGCUUUAAGUUUUUCAUCAGUUCCUCUUGCUCCCCAAGUCCCACAUAGUGAUGCGAAGAGACCCAAGUGGAUGCUACACGUAUUGGAUUUGUGUCACUGCUGAGUAACCUGAGCUCAGGAUGCCCAGUCUUAUAAAGUGGCUGCUAGCAAAUCUCCCCAACGUUUGCCCCAGAGGGAGAUACGUGAUGCUGGUAAGGAAACAGAUCUGCCCUCUGUCUUAGAAUGAGAUAGUACCACUAUCUUUGGACGUUGUUUGCUACAUGGACAUCCUUGGAAGCAUAGUCUGCAACAGAAGCUGAGAGAAGACUUGUAGAAACACCACGGAGAAUCAUCUCUCAACAAACAGUGCUGAAAACCAUGAAGUGCUGUGGCCAGGUUUGAGACCAGCGCCCUCUCUGGUUCAGUUCAACACCAUAUGAGCAAAGCUUACCUGAAAGUUUACUCUGUGCUGGGUACGGAGUUAACACUGUGGAUAAAAAGAUGAAUGAAGCAACUUACAUGGGAGAGACAAAAGAGAUCAUGUGAGUACACAGUGAGAUGGCAGCCACCCAUGAGGCAAGAGAAGAGGCUGCAGACUGAAACCUACCUUGUACUGCCUUGAGCUUGGACUUUCUAGCCUCUAGAACUGAAAGAAAUAAACUUUUGUUGUUUAAGCCACC